rnacentral:rRNA from 1 species
UACGUAGGGUCCGAGCGUUGUCCGGAAUUAUUGGGCGUAAAGGGCUCGUAGGCGGUUUGUCACGUCGGGAGUGAAAACUCAGGGCUCAACCCUGAGCGUGCUUCCGAUACGGGCAGACUAGAUGUAUGCAGGGGAGAACGGAAUUCCUGGUGUAGCGGUGGAAUGCGCAGAUAUCAGGAGGAACACCGGUGGCGAAGGCGGCCUGCUGGGCUGUUGCUGACGCUGAGGCGCGACAGCGUGGGAGCAACAGG